UACGUAGGGUGCGAGCGUUGUCCGGAAUUAUUGGGCGUAAAGAGCUCGUAGGCGGUGUGUCGCGUCGGCCGUGAAAACCUGCAGCUUAACUGUGGGCUUGCGGUCGAUACGGGCAUCACUGGAGUUCGGCAGGGGAGACUGGAAUUCCUGGUGUAGCGGUGAAAUGCGCAGAUAUCAGGAGGAACACCCGUGGCGAAAGCGGCUCUCUGGGACGGUACUGACGCUGAGACGCGAAAGCGUGGGGAGCAAACAGG
rnacentral:rRNA from 1 species